rnacentral:rRNA from 1 species
UACGUAGGCAGCGAGCGUUGUUCGGAGUUACUGGGCGUAAAGAGUGCGUAGGCGGUUUUCUAAGUUUGGUGUGAAAUCUCCCGGCUUAACUGGGAGGGUGCGCCGAAGACUGGAAGGCUUGAGUAUGGGAGAGGUAAGCGGAAUUCCUGGUGUAGCGGUGAAAUGCGUAGAUAUCAGGAGGAACACCGGUGGCGAAGGCGGUCAUCUGGCCCGGUACUGACGCUCAGGCACGAAAGUGUGGGUAGCAAACAGG